UAUUGACUGGUUACAGUGUUCUGGCUGGUACAUGUUAGAUCUUCAUCAUUGUAAUCAUACCUUCCAGAAAUAGUCCCAUGAGCUCACAAAGUGAUUAUUCAGUGAAGAGGUGGGCUGCUCCUGUAUAUGACAGUCACCAUAGAUACCUGCUGCCAAGGCUUCUUUCAACAGCACUGCCUGCUCAAUGAGCAAACUGACCGAGUGUCAAGUACUGAGUGUGUGUGAAAUCAAAACACAAGGAGGAAAAACAGCCAUCACCAAGGAUACAAAAGGUUCAAUCUGUCUGGUCCGUGUGAAAUAGUUUUGUAUAAGGGCAGGACGAUCUGCAGUCGAGUACACAGUCUCUCAACUCACUUUUGGAUAUGGCCAAGUGGAGAGGAGAAAGAAGAAGCCUUUCACCUUCAGGAUUGUGGAGUGAGCAGGAGUGGGAUGCUGACCUGGGCCGUACAUCUUUCUGCCGCACUCUUAGGUCUCAAAGUCCCCUCGCUUCCUCGGAUCUUGACUUUUGGGAUAGUAGAUCUCUUCUUAAAGCUCGGAAAUCUCCAGCAUGGAGUUGUGUAGGCUUAUGUGGAUCGACUGGCCGCUCAAAAAUCAGCACCAGCACUCUUGGCAGCCAGAAACACAGGGGCUCCCUGGGCAUGACGAGAUGGUCAUCUACAUCCCGUCUGGCUCCAGAAGGAGCUCCGCGAUCACGCUCUUCUGCUGAAGACUUUGAGCUCCGAGCUGCUCUGGAGGAAAGUAGCGUGAGGAGAGCAGAGCUCAUCCAGAAGCUCCAAGAGGCCAGAGGUCAGCUGGAUGCUCAGACAGACCUUCUGAAAACCAAAGGAUCUCAGCUUCAACAAAGCCAGAGCAUCUCAAACGUCCUGGAUAUGAAGCACAAGCAGCUGUCUGAAGCAGUGAGUGCUCUUGAACACGACAAGGAAGCUGCAGAGCUGAGCCGAUUUGAGGAAAGCCGCCAUCGAGGGGAAUUACAUGACAAAGUUCUGCAGCUUGAGUUGGACAUUUUGAAGAUGAGGUCUAACCUGGAGAGAAGAAGUCCACCCACAUCACCAAACCCUCUCAGCAGAACUCUGCCUGCUGCAAAAGACCAAACCCUCAGAGAGCAGGGACAGAGGCAGGUUGAGAAAGAGAUAAAGAAGCUCAGAGAAGCUCUCAGAAAAUCAGAGGAGAGAACAGACGACCUGGAGUAUGAGAAAGACAGUGCACUGAGACAGCUCCACUCCUCUGAAGAGAGCAAACAUGAGGCAAUAAACCAAGCAGAAGAGUUGGAGCAAAGACUGAGCAGCUCCAUCCAGACCCAGAAAGAGCUAGAGGAGCAGCUGAAUGAGUCCCGCAGCCGUCUGGGACAAAUAGAGCUGGAAAAAGACUUGUUUUCCACUAAAACCCGGAGACUAGAAGACAAUUUGAAUGACUUAAAGGUCAAACUAUCCAGAGCUUUAAUGGACAAAGACCGUCUUGUCCAGGAGAAAGCAGAGCUCCAUCAGAGGAUCCAGGCUUUGGAUCUGCAGCUGCAGAGGGAGCAGAGGAGCAAACAGGGCUUCAGUGAGCAGAUGUGUGAGCUGCAUUCUGAGCUGUCUCAAGCUAAGAGCCAGACCAACAAACAGAAGAUAGAAACCAUGUUGACGAAGGAGGAGCUGCUUUCCAUUAAAGAGUUGAACGAAAAGCUGUCAUCUGAACUGACCAAAGCUACAGAGCGACUACAGGUGACUCUUAACCAGCUACACGAGCUGGAGGCGGAGAAACUGAUCCAAACCAAUCAGAUUGCGGCACUGGAGACUGAGCGCUUGCAGCUGAUAGGAGAGAAAGAGGAACUGAGGAAAACAUUUGAUGAUGGACUUCAUGAGAAGAUGAUAGAGCUGGGAGAGAGAUGCUGCCAGCACAGAGAACGGCAGGACAAUCUAGAACAAGAAAAUCAGACGCUGCAAUUAAAAUGUCAAGACCUGGAAAAAAAAGUCCAAAUCUCGGAGGCGGGGUAUAAGCAUAAAGAGGAGGAGCAACAGCAAAUAAGGGCGGGGUUUGAGCAGGAAAAGGAGGAGUUGAGGAAACUGGCUGCUCACUGGAAUGAGAGGUGGCUGGAUGUGGCGAUGACGUUAUGCUCGACGCAAGCAGAACUCGAUGAGCUCAAGAGUCAACAACGAGUGAAUGACAACCGAGAGCCUGAAGUUUCACAACAGAUAGAGCCUGAGAGGGACCCAAGCCAAGUGCAGCAGAGACUCAUGGGUAGCUCUGUGUCUCUUGAAGUCGUGGAUGGAGAGUUGGUGCAGGUGAAGGCGGAGCUGCUGAAGGUGAGGGACAUGCUGAGGAUCAGAGACACUGCGCUGGAGGAACAGCUACAGGAGCUGCGGUCUGCUCGCCGUCAGGAGUCACAACAGAGCGGUGAGGUCCAGAGGCUGGAGCAGCUUCUUGCAAAGAGAGAUCAGGAAAUUAAAGAAAAGGAUCAAGAUCUGAAGAACCUGGAGAUACAGAGGAUAACACAGAAAGCAGAGGCUCAGAUCAAGAUAUCCGCCCUGGAGCAGGAGAUUUUUGGACACAAAGGUCUGCUGUGGAGAAAGGAAGUGAUCAGUGAAUGCAGUCCUGAGGUCUUAGAGUCACCAAAGGCCCCAUUAGAAGAAAGCAGAAGGCGAGCAGAAACGCUUGAGCGGGAACGAGACCUGCAGGAUCUUGAACCUCCCCAGCAGGUACUGACUGAUGUUUGUCUGCACGUGUGUGUUAGUGUGUUUAUUCAUUCAUAUUUCAUUCCGUAG
rnacentral:lncRNA from 12 species